rnacentral:lncRNA from 1 species
CACGAAUGUGGCAGCCAUGGGAACUGAUACUGCACAGCACUAUGGAGUCACUGCAGAGUUUCAAACUGUGUAUUUGGAACAGCCCUGUGUACACAACACAGUAAGAGAAAGAAGAAGAACGUACUUGGAAUGUCCCUAUCUGUCAUGUAGGCGAGGAGAUACAGUGGCAGUAAGGACCAGAUGCAAGGAGAGCAUCAGCACUGAGACCCAUUCUAUCCCUCCGGCUGUUCCCUUGAUAUCCAGAAUCCCCGGAGGAUCAGGAUCAGUUACCAGUGGUAAGCUGAAUGUCUGAGCAUGCAGUGCCCAAAACUGGCAUUCCGGGUGGGGUAUUACAUCGAGAUAGGCAACACAAGGAAUGUGGGUUUCUCCCCUUCCUUGUUCUGAAGUUAUACACAAUUUGCUAACAGCUCAAAGCCUUUGCCUGAUAGAAAUUAUUAGCAUGACUUCCUGCCCCACUGUCUGGGGUCUGUCAACAAGUGGGUCUUCUUGUUUCUGUUCGCUGCUUUUUUAGACUCUGCCCGCACUUGCACUAAGCCACAGUGGAGCUUAGGACUCUUUUUUUCCUAUUGAGUUCAGCAUAUCUUGAACUCCUUUCAUGGUGGUGCAGCUUUGGCAGAAAGAGGGGAAAAUGCCCCUGUGCUCUUCAUAAACUGCAACUCUGGUGGUUGGUUGGGCUGUGCUUGGUGGUCAGAAGAUACAGGUAGAGCAUGGCCUCAGAGCAGGGAAGUAGACUUGGAUCUCUUGUGCACAGGGUAUAUCUGCAAUCAGUGGGACUGGCAGUCCUGUAAUUGGCUCUGAGAAGAUGUGCUAUACUGCCUGUGUCCUCACAGUCACAUUUAAAAAGGAAGUGUGGCAGUUGGUAUCUAGCCCAGUCUGGCAGGUACCCAGCAGGUAUAUCUACAGCCAAAUGGCUCUGAGGACUGGAAUGGAAGGCUGGCAUCUAGGAUUUGGGCUUUGAUCUAGAAUAGGUGUGAAAGAAGGACCAAACUGUUAUUUUAAGAGUUGGAUCCUGUAGCAGAAAUGCUGUCAUAGCUUGAAACAGUGAUUGAGCCCCUGGUGGGAAGGCAGGGCCAACCCAGGGGAGCUCAGGU